rnacentral:rRNA from 1 species
AUUGAACGCUGGCGGCAGGCCUAACACAUGCAAGUCGAGCGGGGUUUUCGGACCUAGCGGCGGACGGGUGAGUAAUGCGUAGGAAGCUACCCGAUAGAGGGGGAUACCAGUUGGAAACGACUGUUAAUACCGCAUAAUGUCUACGGACCAAAGUGUGGGACCUUCGGGCCACAUGCUAUCGGAUGCGCCUACGUGGGAUUAGCUAGUUGGUGAGGUAAUGGCUCACCAAGGCGACGAUCCCUAGCUGGUUUGAGAGGAUGAUCAGCCACACUGGAACUGAGACACGGUCCAGAAUCCUACGGGAGGCAGCAGUGGGGAAUAUUGGACAAUGGGCGCAAGCCUGUUCCAGCCAUGCCGCGUGUGUGAAGAAGGCCUUCGGGUAGUAAAGCACUUUCAGUAGGGAGGAAGCGUUGUGUGUUAAUAGUACACAGCGUUGACGUUACCUACAGAAGAAGCACCGGCUAACUCUGUGCCAGCCGCCGCGGUAACAC